CACGUAGGCACCAAGCGUUGUCCGGAUUUAUUGGGCGUAAAGAGCUCGUAGGCGGUUCGGUAAGUCGGGUGUGAAAACUCUGGGCUCAACCCAGAGCCGCCACCCGAUACUGCUGUGACUCGAGUGCGGUAGGGGAGCGGGGGAAUUCCUGGGUGUAGCGGUGAAAUGCGCAGAUAUCAGGAGGAACACCAGUGGCGAAGGCGGCGAUCUGGGUGGAUACUGACGCUGGAGGCGCGAAAGCUAGGGGAGCAAACGGG
rnacentral:rRNA from 1 species